UCUGGUUGAUCCUGCCAGAGGUUACUGCUAUCGAGGUUCGACUAAGCCAUGCGAGUCGAAUGUAGCAAUACAUGGCGUACUGCUCAGUAACACGUGGACAACCUACCCUUAGGUCGGGGAUAAACCCGGGAAACUGGGUAUAAUACCCGAUAGAUCUCGACUGCUGGAAUGCAUCGAGAUCGAAAGCUCCGGCGCCUAAGGAUGGGUCUGCGGCCUAUCAGGUAGUAGUGGGUGUAGCGUACCUACUAGCCUACGACGGGUACGGGUUGUGAGAGCAAGAGCCCGGAGAUGGAUUCUGAGACACGAAUCCAGGCCCUACGGGGUGCAGCAGGCGCGAAAACUUUACAAUGCUGGAAACAGCGAUAAGGGGACCUCGAGUGCCAGGUUACAAAUCUGGCUGUCGUGAUGCCUAAAAAGCAUUGCAUAGCAAGGGCCGGGCAAGACCGGUGCCAGCCGCCGCGGUAACACCGGCGGCUCGAGUGGUAACCGUUAUUAUUGGGUCUAAAGGGUCUGUAGCCGGCCGGAUAAGUCUCUUGGGAAAUCCAGCAGCUCAACUGUUGGGCUUUCAGGAGAUACUGUCUGGCUCGAGGCCGGGAGAGGUGAGAGGUACUUCAGGGGUAGGGGUGAAAUCUUGUAAUCCUUGAAGGACCACCAGUGGCGAAGGCGUCUCACCAGAACGGACCUGACGGCAAGGGACGAAAGCUAGGGGCACGAACCGGAUUAGAUACCCGGGUAGUCCUAGCCGUAAACGAUACUCGCUAGGUGUCGGCCACGGUGCGACCGUUGUCGGUGCCGUAGGGAAGCCGUGAAGCGAGCCACCUGGGAAGUACGGCCGCAAGGCUGAAACUUAAAGGAAUUGGCGGGGGAGCACCACAACGGGUGGAGCUUGCGGUUUAAUUGGAUUCAACGCCGGAAAUCUUACCGGGACCGACAGCAAUAUGAAGGCCAAGCUGAAGACUUUGCCGGAUUAGCUGAGAGGUGGUGCAUGGCCGUCGUCAGUUCGUACUGUGAAGCAUCCUGUUAAGUCAGGCAACGAGCGAGACCCACGCCCACAGUUGCCAGCGUACUCUCCGGAGUGACGGGUACACUGUGGGGACCGCCGCUGCUAAAGCGGAGGAAGGAAUGGGCAACGGUAGGUCAGUAUGCCCCGAAUAUCCCGGGCUACACGCGAGCUACAAUGGUUGGUACAAUGGGUAUCUACCCCGAAAGGGGAUGGAAAUCUCCUAA
rnacentral:rRNA from 1 species